UACGGAGGGUGCGAGCGUUGUCCGGAAUCACUGGGCGUAAAGGGCGCGUAGGCGGCUUCUUAAGCGUGCGGUGAAAGCUCGGGGCUCAACUCCGAGUCGGCCGUGCGAACUGGGAAGCUGGAGCACAGUAGAGGCGGGUGGAAUUCCGGGUGUAGCGGUGGAAUGCGUAGAGAUCCGGAAGAACAUCAGUGGCGAAGGCGGUCUGCUGGGCCGUUGCUGACGCUGAGGCGCGACAGCGUGGGGAGCAAACAGG
rnacentral:rRNA from 1 species